rnacentral:rRNA from 1 species
AGCGAACGCUGGCGGCAGGCUUAACACAUGCAAGCCGAACGCCCCGCAAGGGGAGUGGCAGACGGGUGAGUAACACGUGGGAACGUACCCUUUGGUUCGGAAUAACUUGGGGAAACUCAAGCUAAUACCGCAUAAGCCCUUCUGGGGAAAGGUUUACUGCCGAAGGAUCGGCCCGCGUCUGAUUAGCUAGUUGGUGAGGUAAUGGCUCACCAAGGCGACGAUCAGUAGCUGGUCUGAGAGGAUGAUCAGCCACACUGGGACUGAGACACGGCCCAGACUCCUACGGGAGGCAGCAGUGGGGAAUAUUGGACAAUGGGGGCAACCCUGAUCCAGCCAUGCCGUGUGAGUGAUGAAGGCCUUAGGGUUGUAAAGCUCUUUUACCCGGGACGAUAAUGACUGUACUGGGAGAAUAAGCCCCGGCUAACUUCGUGCCAGCCGCCGCAGUAA